rnacentral:lncRNA from 1 species
AGCGCAAAUUAAGCCUCCAUCAUGGUGGGAGUACAAAUUAAGUCCCCACGAUAGUGAGAGUGUAGAUUAAGCCUCCACCUAUUUAAUGAUAGUACGAAUUAAGACUCCAUAGUGAGAGUGCAGAUUAAGCCCCUACCUAUUCAAUGAGAGUACAGAUUAAGCUCCCAUGAUAGUGGGAGUGCAGAUGAAGCCCCCACCAUGAUGAGUGCAGAUGAAGCCCCCACCACGGUGUGAGUGCAAAUAAAGACC